GCAUAUCAAUAAGCGGAGGAAAAGAACCAACAGGGAUUGCCUCAGUAACGGCGAGUGAAGCGGCAACAGCUCAAAUUUGAAAUCUGGCCUCUUUGGGGUCCGAGUUGUAAUUUGUAGAGGAUGUUUCGGGCACCGCUCCGGUUUAAAUUUCUUGGAACAGAAUGUCAAAGAGGGUGAGAACCCCGUCUUGGACCGGCAGUAGGGCCCAUGUGAAACUCCUUCGACGAGUCGAGUUGUUUGGGAAUGCAGCUCAAAAUGGGUGGUAAAUUUCAUCUAAAGCUAAAUAUUGGCCAGAGACCGAUAGCGCACAAGUAGAGUGAUCGAAAGAUGAAAAGCACUUUGAAAAGAGAGUUAAACAGUACGUGAAAUUGUUGAAAGGGAAGCGCUUGCAACCAGACUUGCGCGCGGCGGUUCCCCCUUCCUUUUGGUUGGGUUAUUCCGCCGUGUCCAGGCCAACAUCGGUUCUGGGGGUCGGUUAAAGGCCUGGGGAAUGUAUCUACCCUUCGGGCGUAGACUUAUAGCCCCGGGUGUCAUGCGACCUCCCGGGACCGAGGAACGCGCUUCGGCUCGGAUGUUGGCGUAAUGGUUGUCAGCGACCCGUCUUGAAACACGGACCAAGGAGUCUAACAUCUAUGCGAGUGUUUGGGUGUCAAACCCGGAACGCGGAAUGAAAGUGAACGGAGGUAGGAAGCUUCGGCUGCACUAUCGACCGAUCCUGAUGUCUUCGGAUGGAUUUGAGUAAGAGCAUAGCUGUUGGGACCCGAAAGAUGGUGAACUAUGCCUGAAUAGGGUGAAGCCAGAGGAAACUCUGGUGGAGGCUCGCAGCGGUUCUGACGUGCAAAUCGAUCGUCAAAUUUGGGUAUAGGGGCGAAAGACUAAUCGAACCAUCUGGUAGCUGGUUCCUGCCGAAGUU
rnacentral:rRNA from 1 species